rnacentral:rRNA from 1 species
UACGAAGGGGGCGAGCGUUGUUCGGAAUUACUGGGCGUAAAGGGCGCGCAGGCGGCCCUUGAAGUCAGUCGUGAAAGCCCCGGGCUCAACCUGGGAGGUGCGCUUGAUACUCGAGGGCUUGAGUGCGGGAGAGGAGAGUGGAAUUCCCAGUGUAGAGGUGAAAUUCGUAGAUAUUGGGAAGAACACCGGUGGCGAAGGCGGCUCUCUGGACCGUAACUGACGCUGAGGCGCGAAAGCGUGGGGAGCAAACAGG